CGCGUAGGCGGUCUCUUAAGUCAGAUGUGAAAGCCCGGGGCUCAACCCUGGAAGUGCAUUUGAAACUAAGGGACUUGAGUAUGGGAGAGGGAAGUGGAAUUCCUGGUGUAGCGGUGAAAUGCGUAGAUAUCAGGAGGAACACCGGUGGCGAUGGCGACUUCCUGGACCAAUACUGACGCUGAGGCGCGAAGGCGUGGGGAGCAAACAGGAUUAGAUACCCUGGUAGUCC
rnacentral:rRNA from 1 species